AAGUCGUAACAAGGUUUCCGUAGGUGAACCUGCGGAAGGAUCAUUAAUACGCUUUUGUUUGUAACAAAACAAAACGUUUUAAACUCCAAAAGAAAUAGUGGAAAUAUAACUUCCGGAUGCGAAUGUUGGGAACUGAGUAAAAUCGGUUCUUUGAAAAAGGGACUUCAAGUAAAAUUGACACUUCAGAGUAGAGCAGUGAGGUGAAACUCUCUUUAUUGAGAGUUUGGUUCUGAAAAACAUUUGUAUCCGGUUAUCAUAAUCUGUUCUACAAACUCCAAAAUAUCAAACAAUAAACCCCAUGUACAACAACUUGAACUAAACAUUUUUUUGUUGUCUGCUCGCCCUUGUGUGAGAAGAUGCUACAAAGAAAAAACCUGAACUUAAGAACAACUCUUAACAACGGAUAUCUUGGUUCUC
rnacentral:misc_RNA from 1 species